ACAUGACUACAACAUAUGGUUAAUGCGCCAUAUCCCAUUAGAACUCCGCUUUUAAGCGCGCUUGGGCUAGAGUAGUACUAGGAUGGGUGACCUCCCAUUAAUUCCUAGUAUUUUACAUGCC
rfam:Picea glauca, whole genome shotgun sequence.